CUCUGCACAAGGACACGACCUACUGUAAGAGAGGUUCUAAAAUGUCAAUUAUUCCAGCUACUCUAUUACCGUACCUGAGACUGCACUGCCAUGGUGUCUUUGAGAGGAAGGACAAUCUUCAUCAAUGAUCACCCAGCUUCUUCCUGGAGUGAGCUAUCUUACUGGAGGAAGAAUGGGCUGAAGGAGCUCUUCUUCACCUAGCUGCUGUUGACAUGUCUGGCCACACAUGUUUUGGACUGGACCUGAUGGUUUAGUGACCUCAACUCAACAUGAAAAAUCUAAACUGUGGCUUUUCAGGAUAUACUUGUACUGGAGCAACAAACAUUUUGGUUUUGUUCAGGAAUGGCAUAGGGCCUUCAGAUGCUGAAGAGAUCAUCACUGUCCUGGAAUCAGUGAAAGGAAAUCUUCUCCCACAGCAUCCUGGGUCUAAGUUCAAAUCACUGAUGAAGCUCCUGCAGUAUAAUACUGGGCUUUGCCUGAGGCACUGUGUGUGUGCACCUCUGCCAGCCCUGCAAGGGGACAGCCAGAUGGGUAAAGGGUGGUGAAUCACCAGAAGGUUGAGGAUCAAGAGGUGCUGUUCAUCCCAGACAUGGUACCUGUGAGGAAUCUACCUUGUCCUCAAGGUAGCUCCAGUUUCUCAUGGUAUCUGCUUUGAUUUCUUAUUGUUAUUGCAAAAAGCAAGGAAUCAACUUUACGUCUACUCUUCCUGUUCUCUUGCUUUCAUGCCUGGGGCUCUUCUAGCAGUAACUCCCUGUGUGCAGUUUCCAGCAUUCAAAGAAUAAAUUGCACUCCUGCACAUGAUGUGAAAUUUCUCUCUCAAGCACCUUUUUGCUAUGCUUCUUCCUAAAAUUUUCACUUGCUAGAAUAGCAGAUGGCCUGGGUACAUAAAUUUUAUUAUACAAAACAGAAGAGGGACUGUAGCAGCUGAGGUCAUGCAGGACUCAUGCUUCUGUAAAUGGCCCAGUGAUGUCUUUAAAAUAGGAAGAGAAAAGGUCUGGCUUGUACUGAGAAAGCUGAGACAGUCGCCAGGUUUAGGUGUAACUUGCACCAUGAGGUGUAGCAUACAGUGAUCUUACGUGACCAUGUUUUAUGCCUGCUCUGAUUCUUCUCUGUUAAUAAUGGAAGAAGGAGCUGCCAGAGGAGAAAGGACAACUUGUACUUUUAUCUCAGCUCUAUUGGCAAUUUCUUUGUGUGUAACUCUGCUUUCUUUUCUCUUUUCAAGUCCUUUUUCUUUUCUACUGGGUUGUUUUUGAUAUAUAAGAAAAGAAAAUGUAUACGUUCUCUUCCCCAUUAUGAGCACCCCAGUUGCCAUCUCUGUGUUUGUGUGCACCAAUGUGAGUGUUGUGUUGUGUUCAAGGACUGUUAAAUGUCACAUAACUGAACCAGAGCAUUUCAGUCACGUGACACUGAAGAGCUCCACUCAUGCUUAGCACGUGCCUUUCCUGAGCUCAAACCAGAUGUUUCCCUUGACAGAUCCCCCCUCUGGAUUGCUGAAA